CGCCACUUUAACGACGAUGUGCCAGGACGACAUUCUUUCGCUCGACGUACAUUGAUGCCUACUUUCGUCAUCGAAACUCGAUUCUGAUUUCCAACGAUUUCUUAGCAUUCACCGAGCAUUGAUCUACCGUGAACGGCGACCACAAAGGAGACAGGCUUAGUCACAGGCACAGGUACUGUUAGUCGACGAGAUACAGCGAUCUUCGCGAAGUUGGCAAGAAGCUGAGACAACAGGUACUUCAAAAAUUCUCACAAUUUAGGCUUCUACAAACAAGAAAACUCCGCAGCCAGUUUGUUCGUUUUAACGUGUCUUAUUGUUCUUCAAAUUCUUGAAACUCUGUAGAACUGUAGGAUCUAGGUGAGAGAAGAAAUAACGGCGAAAAGAAAGUCAAUAGUAGAGUUCGACGAUGUAAAUUCA
rnacentral:misc_RNA from 1 species